rnacentral:tRNA from 1 species
UGCCCGUUGGUCAAGCGGUUAAGACACCGCCCUUUCACGGCGGUAACACGGGUUCGAAUCCCGUACGGGUCA